GGUGAACGCUGGCGGCGUGCUUAAGACAUGCAAGUCGAACGGCAGUCUUCGGACUGUAGUGGCGCACGGGUGAGUAGCGCGUAACUGACCUACCCCAAAGUCGCGGAUAACGAUUCGAAAGAAUCGCUAAUACGUGAUGUGCUGUCAGAUUGUGUUCUGCCAGUAAAGAUUGAUUGCUUUGGGAGGGGGUUGCGUUCCAUCAGCUAGUUGGUGGGGUAAAGGCCCACCAAGGCGACGACGGAUAGCCGGCCUGAGAGGGUGGCCGGCCACAGGGGCACUGAGACACGGGUCCCACUCCUACGGGAGGCAGCAGUUAGGAAUCUUCCACAAUGGGCGAAAGCCUGAUGGAGCGACGCCGCGUGAGGGAUGAAGGUCUUCGGAUCGUAAACCUCUGAAUCAGGGACGAAAGACACUUCGGUGGGAUGACGGUACCUGAGUAAUAGCACCGGCUAACUCCGUGCCAGCAGCCGCGGUAACAC
rnacentral:rRNA from 1 species